ensembl:lncRNA
AAAUCCCGGCAAGACUCAUGUGACUGCUUCUGGGAGUACACAUUGGUACAACCAGCUCAGGAGACUGUUUGGCAAUAAACACAGGCCCACCUCUGACCCACAUCCCCACUCAUGGCAAUGACCCCAGGUUAAUGAGUGCAUGUAUGCGGUGAGCACACGGAGACGGUUCCAGUUCCCCACAGCAGCCCUGCCUGUAAUGCCAACAGCUGAAAACAACCAAAAUGAACAGGAGAAUCAACAUGAGAACCGUGGUGUGUUACAACUGCUACAGAGCAAUGAAAAGAAACAAACCACGAUUACACCAAUGAGGAUGAGGCUCCCAGACUUAAUGGUGCCUGCAUGCGAGCUAAGUCGAUUCAGUCAUACAUGACUGAAGUGACUGAGCAUGCAUGCAUGCUAAUAUAUAUUCAACCCUCUUCUUACCAACUUCCAAGCCACUGCCUCCUUCACCUCUUUGGAUCACCCCAGGCAAAGACACUAUUAGCAUUCCCAUUUUGAAGAGAAGGAAACUGAGGUCGGAGAGAUGAAGGUACUCACCGAGGUCACAUGACUGUGUCCCACUCAUCUUUGGAGGUGCAGUUGCCACCAUCACACUGACAUCCUGCAUUAAGGCCUCCAGGCAAAACUCACUUUGCAAACAGGACGGAGACCAAUAACUCGUCCCCGGUGACACCAUCAAAACAGCAUGUCCACAGUGUAGGUGCUCAUUAAAUGUUCCCGUGCUGUUGUCCCAGACAGAUCAACCAGAGGUUGGUAUUGUGGAUUUGUUUUUUUCAUCCACUGAAUUAACUGGUUAUUUUUGCCAGCCAGAGGUUUAACCUGGAUUGUAUAAAAUGCUGCCCCAUUUCCAAGACAAUCAACCUGUGUGAUUCUUGUGGUCGGACAGAUCAGCUGCAAGACUUCAGGAGAGUAGAG